UACGGGGGUGCGAGCGUUGUCCGGAAUCACUGGGCGUAAAGGGCGCGUAGGUGGUCUGAUAAGGGUGUGGUGAAAGUCCGGGGCUCAACCCCGGAUCUGCCGUGCCGACUGUCAGACUCGAGGACUGUAGAGGCAGGCGGAAUUCCGGGUGUAGCGGUGGAAUGCGUAGAGAUCCGGAGGAAGACCGGUGGCGAAGGCGGCCUGCUGG
rnacentral:rRNA from 1 species